UGCGCGGAUCUCGUGCUCUGUGUGGAAUCAAGUAAACCAUAUCACUUAGAGGAAGGAGAAGUCGUAACAAGGUUUCCGUAGGUGAACCUGCGGAAGGAUCAUUA
rnacentral:rRNA from 1 species